rnacentral:lncRNA from 1 species
GCUCUUUCACUGGUUUUCCAGUAGAAAUGGUUUGCUUAGCUUUCAAGCUUUUUCUCUUUUUGAUGUUUCUAUACAUGGAAGAAAGGUAUUUUAUGUUCGUGAAACACUGGGCAUACUGUGCUUCUCCCAAACUCCCUCCUCUUUAAAUGAAAAAUGGAUUUGAUAUUGAUGAUGAUUGCUUUUUUUUUUUUCUUUUUUCUGUUACUUUGGUAUUUAGAAAUCCCACUGAAGGAAAAAUGCCUGAUAUUAAGAAGGUGACACUCAGGGAUUUGAGGCCACUUCUUAUCUCUUCUCUCGUGACCUUGCUUAAUGAAAUUGGCUCAGUCUGUGCAGGGCCAAGUUCCCUGCCGUCAGGCUAAAAGAGGAUGAUCAUCAAGAGAAACAAGCAAAGAGGAAAGAUCUGUGACUUCCGUCAAGGAACUCUGAGCCCACUGCAAGUUUUCACAUACCCCAGAGAAAGGUAAAUGCAAAGGAACUGUUCAUGUGUUCAGUGCGUAAUACUUUAAAAGAAGGAAACAACAUCUAAACAGGGUGUCUAAAGAAAUAAGUUUAAUGGACUACAUGUGUAAAUUCAGCCAUGCAGAGAUUGUCGUAGCAUUUUCAAGCUCUUGCCUAAAUUCUAUUUACUUGCCUAUAUACAUGACUAUGUUAUGUAAAACCUUUUUUUACCGUCUUGUACGUAGUGGAGAGUACCAUUUUUGUCCGUCACUAAAGAAAGUAAAUUAGUAACAAUUUCUACACACUGAACUGUAUCUGUACUGUGAUUUUAUUUUCCUCAAAAGAUGUCUUUCAUUCAGAAGAAAACUGGAUGUUUUCUAGGAUAACAAAAUGUGGAGUUCCAGAAGCUAAAAAAUGCCAAAUACAUUAAGUGUAGCUGUUGUAGAAAGUUAUGCAUCUGCAUGAUUUACGCAUUUUUGUUUAGGUACUUGUUUAGAGCACCUUGAAUUCUUGCAAUGUAGACAGGUGUAGAUUUUACUCAAUCCUGUCGUUUUUGCAUGUUUUCCCCUUCAGUACAGAGGAAUAUGUGAGCUUAGAAGAAACUAUUUACAAACUCUAAAGGCUAACACCUUUUCUGGAAUGAAACCUUUCCAGUGUUCCAGGAUAUUGUAAAGAGCAGUCCAUGCUGGAGGAAAGGCAGUGAAUACAUAGUGUUCAAAACUUUAAAUAGAAUAUAGUUUUGUGUGGACAAAAGCAGAUGUGUUUUUAAAAGUGCUAACUGAUCAUGCUUAAUCCUUUAAGGAAUUGCUUUCUCUGAAAUAGUGGAAUUGCUUUUAGAGUUGGUCCCUUCCUAGGGGAAAGAAAAGAAUCAAAAACUGACCCAUCAAAUACGUCAGGCUGUUACUAAACCUCACUGUGAAAGCAGCGCCACUUUCCUGACAAAUAGAUCUUGGACGCUAUUAGAAAAACAGAAAGCACUGGUGCUAACUGCUGCACUAACACUAUCUAAUUCACUUUAUUAACUAGGUAAUGAACUGAAGCCAUUGUGGUCUAAUUGAAAUAAAUAAAUACAUUAAAACGAUGAAUUAAAGUAA